rnacentral:lncRNA from 1 species
CUGGAAUUACAAAAGAUAGAUAGAAGGGAAGAGAGAGAGGAGAGGAGAUGGAGCCUGACAACAUCCAAUAACUCCUGCCAUUCCCUCCCUUAGCUAAGUAAAAUAAAAGGCGUGUUUCCUUAACCAAAAAUGUAUUAAAUAAAAAAAUAUAAAAAAUAUAAAAUCAAACGGUGUCGUUUCCUGAUUUGAAUCACCGUUACUUCCGAUUACUCCUUCCUUUCUUCUUUCCCCACUUUACUGGUACAAUCUGUUCCUCUUGGUCUGUAGAUGAGAUGUGUUCUUCGUCGUCAUCAUGACAGAAAAUUAGUAUCUGAGGGUCCGAGGACGCAAGAUUAAUUUUUGAGCUGGAAAAUGGGAAGAGAGUCCUUUAUGCUGCCACGGGCACGGUAUCAUGUCUAGGAUUUUGUGUCGAUUUUCGUUGAUGUUAUUUUUAACAUGCUGAUUGAAAUGUUUUUGGCAGAACGGAAUUUUAUUUACAGCGGCAGAGGACAGAAAUGUGAUGGCACGGGAUAAAGCCAGUGGGAAAAGCGUCAAUGGCAUAUAGCAUUGAAGAUGUUCGGAUGGGCUAAUAAGUUGAAGACGAGUCCAAUGGCGGUGGCUAAUAACAGAUCCAGGCUCACUUUUCUUGCAGAAUCAUCUAUCAAAUGUCAGUCUGAAUUUGUUUGUUAUGAUUUUAUCUCCGUAAUUCUAAUCUUAUUGUUAAAUUUGUCAGAUGGUAUAUAUUUAUGCAAUUAGGCUCCCAUGUUUAUUGAACGGACAACUAUUCAAUAGAAAACUGUAUAUGGGGUCAUUAGUGUGUACGUUCGUUGGGAUUAAUGUGAAUUAACAGGGUUGAAGAAUUGGGAUUAUGGAUCGCGAACGUGUAGUUUUAAUAUAAUUAACUUUUCCAGCUGAAGAAUUCCCCCAUGAGAAGUUAAGAAUUCCGAUUAAUGAGCUUAUGAUUCACCAAUAACCAUAUUUUGAACCAUGAGAGGCAAAAAAUUGUCAAAAUCAUGAGGUUACAGAAGUCUAAAUAUGAUAGAUUAAGCUUGUAAAUCGCCUGAAUAUGGAACAGUUGUUAUGCAGCAGAAGAAAAGAAAAAUAAUAUCCCAACAUGAUUAGUAAGUUUGAAUACCGAAAUAGUAUAUUUACAAUAUGAUCUUCCUCAUACUAAAACAUUUCAAGGAAGAUCUGUAGUUAUUUCUCAGCAAGUCUUAGGUCUGCAAUUGAAGUUGUACAGACUCCAGAAAAACCGAACCGGAAUUGAUGGACUAGUCAUAUAUCUGAACUUCCAUAGGAUUGUGGACAAGCCCUGAAUGUAGGACUUCAAUAACGUAAUACAGAUAAAGACCUUUGAACGUCGUGGAGAAAAUGCUUAGAGUUGGUUGUUUCAGAAGAUGAAGCUGAAACAGUACAACAUGAGGAUGUUGAUAAAUUCUUUGGAGACAGCAAUUUAGCAUCAUUUGUGCUGGAUUCCUUCUCCUCUUCAUGAAUUGUGUCCAACAUCUUUGAUGCUCUGUGCCUCAUAACAUUUACAAACUGUGGUGGCGCUGCUUCAGUUAUAAAUCUAGCGAUGCGGGCAUUUGCCAUUUUCUCUUCGAAAUAUUUGGAGAAUCAUAAGAUGGAAGAAUAGGUUAAAAGUGUGUUUGAAGAGAUUGCUGUCGACUUGUUGAAAUUUAUAGGAGUAUGCUUGGGCUGAAUUCCAAUAAUUGGAUGAGAUUAUAGUUCAGUGAUGAGGCUUAAAUUAAGUCAAUGGUCCCAAUCAAAUUCUUAAAUGAUUUUCAGACGUUUGUGCCG